AUGCCGCCAGUCCUCGGUUCCAUGCGCCAUCCUGCUCUAGCUUCAUGUAAGGGUGCAAUGAAAUCCGUGCUCCCCUGCAAGGCGCUUCACCAUGGGUCUUGGGCGUCUGUCGUCUCUGCUACCGUUGACUCAGCAACCCCACCCGAUAUGAUGUUGCGGUCCUCUCUGACCGAUCAGACAACAUUGUUGCAGAGUUGUCUGGCACGGGUUCAUAGCUUUCUUGAGCGGGCGGAGGUUGCUCUUAGCAGGCUCUCCCUUGCACCGGCUAGGUCGCAGACCACUCCGAUGUCAUGCCCCUCUGGCGUGGAAGAUGUUGGCUCUAUGGAGGAAGGGAGGCAAGAGUUAUAUGGAUGUUUCUCCCCUUGUAUUGAGAACGGUUCAUCGUCACUCUCGGGCGAGUCCAUUGUCGUGCUUGAUGCUCCGGUGUUGCAGGUCAUGCCCGAGCUAUGA
rnacentral:rRNA from 1 species